rnacentral:rRNA from 1 species
CAAGUCGAACGAGAAAGCAGGAGCAAUCUUGUGAGUAAAGUGGCGUACGGGUGAGUAACACGUGGAUUAUCUACCCUCUUGUGGGGGAUAACCCUGGGAAACCGGGGCUAAUACCGCAUAAGCUCGAGAGAGGAAAGCAGCAAUGCGCAGGAGGAGGAGUCCGCGGCCGAUUAGCUAGUUGGUAGGGUAAAAGCCUACCAAGGCAACGAUCGGUAGCCGGCCUGAGAGGGCACACGGCCACACUGGCACUGAAACACGGGCCAGACUCCUACGGGAGGCAGCAGUGGGGAAUCUUGCACAAUGGGGGAAACCCUGAUGCAGCGACGCCGCGUGAGCGAUGAAGCCCUUCGGGGUGUAAAGCUCUUUCGGCAGGGAAGAUUAUGACGGUACCUGCAGAAGCAGCUGCGGCUAACUACGUGCCAGCAGCCGCGGUAAUACGUANGCAGCAAGCGUUGUUCGGAGUUACUGGGCGUAAAGGGUGUGUAGGCGGUUUUCUAAGUCUGGUGUGAAAUCUCCCGGCUCAACUGGGAGGGUGCGCCGAAAACUGGAAGGCUANAGUGCGGGAUGGGAGAGUGGAAUUCCUGGUGUAGCGGUGAAAUGCGUAGAUAUCAGGAGGAACACCUGUGGUGUAGACGGCUCUCUGGACCGCAACUGACGCUGAAGACACGAAAGCGUGGGUAGCAAACAGGAUUAGAUACCCUGGUAGUCCACGCCCUAAACGA